rnacentral:rRNA from 1 species
UACGUAGGGUGCAAGCGUUAAUCGGAAUUAUUGGGCGUAAAGCGCGCGCAGGCGGUCCUUUAAGUCUGAUGUGAAAGCCCACGGCUCAACCGUGGAGGGUCAUUGGAAACUGGGGGACUUGAGUGCAGAAGAGGAGAGUGGAAUUCCACGUGUAGCGGUGAAAUGCGUAGAGAUGUGGAGGAACACCAGUGGCGAAGGCGACUCUCUGGUCUGUAACUGACGCUGAGGCGCGAAAGCGUGGGGAGCAAACAGG